CAUUGACACUGAAGUGUGGAGUUGGGAGUCCUUAGGUUGGUAUGUUUGCACAUCCCAAACUUCCUGGAUUGCAUUCCUGUAACUUUGGAGUCCUCUCUUGCCCACAGAGUCAUAGAUCAUAACAGUUUGGAGCUGGAAUGGACUUUACCGUUCAUGUUGUUCAACGCACCCACUUACGUAUUUACGCACAUGGGGGGACUGAGAAAGGCUGAGUGGUUUGGCAGGUAGCUAGUGACUGGCAGUACCCAGAUGAGAACCUGGAUCUUCGUGGACUCUCAAUCCAGUGCUCCUAUCAGCCACCACAGCAAUUAAAACUAACUACUGGUUUUGCAGCCUUGAUGGGUGUGAAUUGUGUUCCACAGAAGCAAAGCCCAGAGAAGAUUAAUGGUGCACUGGUAAAUGUUUAACUAAGGGCUCUCUGGGGGAAAAAAUGCACACACACACACACACAUACACACACACACACACACAUUUAAUAUACAUUUUUGCUGCUAUGAAGGAUGAGCAGCACACAAUUUACAAAUAAUAAUAAGGUAUGCACUCUUUGUUAUAAAAGGGAUUCUCACAGAAUGCUUUUGUUGUUUUUGUUGAAUUCUUGUACCUGUACCUGGUUUCAAUUGCUGAACGACUAUUCGGUGAUAUUUCCCUGUAUGGUAACAUAUGAGACAAAAGUAAGACCAUAGAGACAUAGGUUGGAACUUUGCUCAUUCAUCAAUGACACAAGCAACUUCUUUUCUAGACCAAAUUCUACUUUCUGAAUACUAGAACGAUAUUUCCUCAAAUUUUUGCGCUAUCCACAAUGUAACAGCCGUAGAUAUGACAUGUUUUUAAGUUAAAUUCUCAUUAUUAACAUUUUCCAUCACUUUCUUAAGUCCAGACAAUUAACAUAAUCGUAAACCAAGCCCUGAUUUCUAGCAUACGCUGAUUUCUGUGGUGUAAAUAUUUUCACCACAAUCGAUUUCAAACUAACAAUGUGACACCACUGAACUUGGAGUUGGCAAGACCCAGGCAGUGCCACCUCAUUAUGCAAUAUUUCCACUGUUUGGAUAUAACAGGUAUGAAUAACCUCAGGAGCACAGAUAACAGUAUAAUGUGGUAAAAUAAUUGGGAAGUGAUGAGUUUGGGGCAUCUUUUAGUUUUGUGUUUAGCAUUUCUUAUUUAAUUGUAAUGCAUGCAAUUUAAUAUCUAAAAAUGUCUGUAUUUAACAAAAUAUUCCUGAAAUAUUCCUGAAAAUGGAGAAUUGGCUCUCGUGAGCUGACAGGACGAGGCCCCAGCACAUACCAGCAGAAGACGGGUAGAAUGGUCCUGCACUUCUCAAUGUCUGCCCAAGGCCACUGGGUGGAGGCCAUGGACAAUGGCCAUCUGGAUGCUGGCCUCACUGUCGGGGCGGGGCUUCAGGUCUCUAACUGCCCCAGCCCCAGGACAGCAGUGGAAAGUCACAUGCAGCUCAGGAUGCCCGCAGAGCCCCUCCUGACCUCAGUCACCUGGUGAACCCAUCUCUCCAGAUCAGUCUGGCGUCUCUUUCUCCGUGGAGCCUUCAGGGAUGAUGUCCCCAGGCAGUUUCCCACUCUCUCCUCCUUUCUGCCACAGCAUUUGUGACAACACUAUACUUACUAUAGUAAGACUCACUAUGUCUUUUUGUUCACUCAUCCUUGUUCCCAAAAAGACCGUGGGCUCUUUGAGCGUCUUCUCUGGUCUGUGCCGAGUGCACAAUGGUAUCUCGAUAGAUCUUAGACGCUAGAUCACCUUGUUCAGUCAUUCUCAAACAUCUAUGCAUGAGAAUGACCCAAAGAAGGGGUUCAAAUGCAGAUUCUCAGACCCCAGCUGAGCAAUUGUGAAACCUGGGUCUUUAAUUAAAGAUCAGGCAAUUGUGGCGCACAUAUGUUCACAACCCACCCUUUAAGAAAUACAGAUUUGUUCAAACUUCCCAUUUUGCAGGUGGAGAAACAGAGGGCUGGGGAUGCAGUCCUGAUUCAAGACCCUUAGCUACUUAGCGCAGUGGGACAGCAUGGUAGUUUGAACUAGAACUAUCUUAAAUUCUCAUGAAGUGAAGUAAGCGAACCACAGCCACGCUGAGGAUUAGUAUUCGGAACGUUAAAAAUGCCGUGAGCUAAAAUAAUUGCGUACCACACCUUAAAACAGUGACAAGACUCUCCAUGGCCAGAUGCCUCUGCCGCGGUCCACGAUGAGAUGAUGGUACCUUGCUUCCUGCUACUGGCAGGGUCUCCUUAGAAUUUGAAGCGUGUUCUUGCUGACGCCAGAACAAUGACUUCUGCCUCUAAAGUGUCAUUUGCCUCAAUGGCUGCCCAAAGAGGCCAUCUGGCACAAGCUCUAGUGCCCGCGGGUGCGCCCUGCCCACCUUCGGAGGCUGUCCGUUUGCCGCCGCAGGCACAGGGCCCCGAAGAAGAGCCGGUGGUCAGAUGUCUGGCUCACGCCUAUUUUUAUGGGCGAACCCUUAUUUCAUCUGCCCGUUUGGUGAGUGCCAUGCGUGCUGGUUACCGCCUUGGACAGCAGGUGCCACCUAGAGGGCCCUGUGACUGCUUCCGUGGUUUCACAGUGGCAAGCUGGGUGGCCUCGGGGCCCCAGGGAAGCUCUGCAGCCACCCGCUAAGGGUUACACCAGCCCCCAUGCGGGCCUGGCACUUCGCUUUAGAGGAGACAGUCGCCAGGGGAGCCCAGGAAGGAUAGAAGAAGGCUAUCUGGCUGGUUCCUAGCUUCCAGCUUCCUCGCUUGGUGGGACUCCGAGAGGAAAUGAGCAGGAACUCUGUUCCUCGGCCACAAGGUGUCAGCAGUGGGCUGGCCAGGUGCGAGCUCUGCGCGCAGCCCCAGGAGGAAAGCGCCGGCAAGCACACAAGGUGCUGCCGGUCGCCUUUGAAACUCCUUAUUUGGAGGAAGCGCCUUUCUCAUUAGGAACAGCACAUUGAUUAAGGUACCAAAAGACCCGCCUUUCGGUCUUGCCUGUGGACUAACCACAUGCCUCCAUCUGCCCUCAGAAGAGCGAAGCCGCCGCUGCAGGGCCUUGACUGGAAGAGGUCCCACAGGUGGGGGUUGGGGGUAACGCCGCAGGAAGCGGUGACGUACAGAAGAGAAUGGGGGCACAGAAGAGAGUAGGACAUGGACAUGAGUUCUGGCUUGUUUACUUGCUCGCUGUGAAUUUGGAGUCUGGGUUUGCUUCCCCAUUUCUAAAAUGCCAUAUUCCCCAUUUUUCAAAUGGCAACAGUCACAGGAUCGUUGUGCGGAUCAAGUGAGAUGAAAUGAUUUGCAAACCAUGAGGUACCACAUACGCAUGGGUGCCAUGGUUGGGGUUCAUCUUUCCACCCGAGUUGUGUCACAGGGCUUCCUCCAGACUGGAGGAACAGAGCCCGAAGCAGGGGAAGGGGCCAGCUCUUCUCCAUGUGGGUCACCGGAGUCCCCUGCGUGAGCCUUCGGCCAUAAACUCCUGAUCUGGCCUGAUAGAGUCAUCUUCUAGCAAGAUUCUUCCUGGAUGCCUUUCCAUGGCUUGUUUCCAAGCAGAAAGCUGGCAACGGCUGCUCACUCUUCCUUCUUCACUGAGCCUUCUUUUCCAUAUUGGAAGAAGAUGAAAUGCACAUUUCAGAAUAGUUCCUUGAAGGAAGAAUGAGAUCAACACAAAGAGAGAAGCCGAGAUGGAAAACUGAGAAACGGCCCUGCUGACGGACUCUGAGUCCCUGGUUCCACCCCUGUGUCCUCCAGUUAAAUAAGCUGAAUGUGAUCCCCCCCCUUUUGGCUUAAGCUAGCUUUGAGUUGCACCCCCGGACUCACUCGUGGUGAAAUCUGCUGAAUGAGCUCAGGGGCUGGGAUAGUGAGCUGCCUCUGUGCUCUCCGUACAAAUCCCUCUUGCAAUCAUGCAGCUUGUGACAUUUGCUAGUGAUGAUUCAAACAAGCUGCCGUCAUUUACUGGUGGGUAGGAGGGGGAUGGAGCCCCCUGAUAGAGACACUAGAGUGGUUGCUCCAAAGAAUCCCCAGGGUCCUGUGCCGCGAGAGUGCUGAACACAUCAGCACACGUGCCCAGUGCUGUGUACACUCAGGUAUCCUUUUGGUCAUUGCUUGUGUUUAGAAAUAGGUGAUACCUUGAAGGGGCUCCUCCCUUCGGGUAGGCCAUUUUUGCCAAGAAUUAUUUAAAAAAAAUUUUUAAACAUUUAUUUAUUUUUGAGAGAGA